AGUAACUAACCUGAGCAGAACCUCCCUCCUGGGCAGGAUGUGUGCGUGUGAACUAAACCUCAGGGAUUUCUCAGACAACAAAAGCACAGCCACAAGUGGGUCCUCUGCCUAAUGGGGAAGCAGAUAGUGGGAAUAUUCGACACAAUGAAAAUCAAUGAUGCCCAACCUCAAUGAGCUCAACGUGAGGAAGCAGCUCUACCAACAUUUGUUUUAACGUCAAAAGAGAAAAGAGUUGACGUGUAACUCCGUUCCAGAAAGUGAAGGUUGAGGACAUUCACAUCAGUAGGAAAUUUCAACAGAAUAACUGUGACUGUCCCCAGACCAGAGCGAGGAAUUCCCGAUCUGCAGUGAUUUCCCGGAAAGGUCCCCAGGAAAAGUCAAACGCCCUGCAUCUGGCCCCAGCACAGCACCUGUGGGGCCUGGAAGGCAUGAGCUCACCUCCUUGGGUCUCAGUGUCCUCAUCCUGACUGAGCACCUUCCCGCUCUAAUGCGAUGUGACAUGUUCUUCCAUGGCAACGAUGGAAACGCAGCCACAGAAGACUGGCUACUGACUGGAGCUUCUGGGGGCACGUUCUGGGCCAGGCAUUACUCUGACCACAUCCAUGCGCUAAUCUGGACCAUCGCCUUAGAAGGCAGGUACAUUUUAUUUUAUAAACAAGAAAACGGAGGCACAGAGAGGGUGAACGAUUUGCCAACGGUCACAGCAAGGGAGAGGCGCAAAGCCAAAAGGCCAGUGCAGACAGAUGCUCCUAGCCACUACAUUCGCCGCCCUUUUUUAAAUGCAGAAGACUAGGUGCUGUGCGUAUAUUUAAUUGUGUAUAUUUAAUAUUCCAAGGAUGCUUCCAAAGCCUUCCUUGUCAGCCUUCUAAAUUGCAACCACCUUUCCUGCAGAAAAUGACGGUUUUUCCUCAUCUUUUGUUUAUACCAUAGUUAAAUUAUAACUGAAAGGACUUAGUGAAAUACUGGUUGCAAUUACAAACACCUGCCAAGGAAGAUUUUCCUCCAGGCGCAGAAAUUCACAGGAAGGUGUAUCUUUAGAUACCGCUCCUCCAAUUCCUAAGAGCUCUACUCCCAGAAUUGUGGGACCAGAGGAAGUAUCCACAGUAUUUCCUGAUCCUUAAAGGAGAGGCCAGACAUAUUUAUCUGCCUUCUCCAGCCUUCACCUCCCAAGAAAAGGGUGAAGGAUUGAGUUUGCCCCCAUUGACGUCCUUCUACCCACUGAGGGCACUGAAAUAUUGUCUGAAAUAAUAAAGCCAAUUUCCCUGUACAAUGA